rnacentral:rRNA from 1 species
UGCGGGAAGAAGGCCUUCGGGUUGUAAACCGCUUUUGUCAGGGAAGAAAAGGUUCUGGCUAAUACCUGGGACUCAUGACGGUACCUGAAGAAUAAGCACCGGCUAACUACGUGCCAGCAGCCGCGGUAAUACGUAGGGUGCAAGCGUUAAUCGGAAUUACCGGGCGUAAAGCGUGCGCAGGCGGUUAUGCAAGACAGAGGUGAAAUCCCCGGGCUCAACCUGGGAACUGCCUUUGUGACUGCAUAGCUAGAGUGCGGCAGAGGGGGAUGGAAUUCCGCGUGUAGCAGUGAAAUGCGUAGAUAUGCGGAGGAACACCGAUGGCGAAGGCAAUCCCCUGGGCCUGCACUGACGCUCAUGCACGAAAGCGUGGGGAGCAAACAGGAUUAGAUACCCUGGUAGUCCACGCCCUAAACGA